AUCGCUCUCGGCCUUUUGGCUAAGGAUCAGUGUAGGAUCUGGUUCUUAUCAGGUUUACCUCUGAUACGUCCUCUAUCCGCGGGACAAUAUAUUAAAUGGAUUUUUUUGGCAGCAGGCGGAAAGAUGAAAUAAGGGGGCUUUGCAUGCGUCGCGAACUCAGCGCAUCGACACGGUUGUUUAUUGCAGUAAUUCCGGGAACGGUUGCACCCCCU
rnacentral:snRNA from 1 species